GCCACCCCUGAGACAGCAAGACCAACAACCCCUUCUCUUCCUCUUCAGCCUACUCAGUGUGAAGAUGAUAAAAUGAAACAGUUGGUGAUGUUUCAGAGAACCCAACUCAAACUGACUUGAACAAGAGCUGCCAAGAUUGGAGCUGCUUUAUAUCAAGGCCUUCAUGAGAAGAAACUGAGGGAUGCUUCAGUCCAACAAUCUGUGAGGAAAUGAAUCCUGUCAACACCAUAUGAGUGAGUUGGAAGUGGAUCUUCCCUCAGUUGAGCCAGGUGAAAAUACAGCUCCAGGGAGAAGGUGUGACGUUUCUUGGUCAUAGGAGGGAGUGUGAUCUGACACCAGAGGACUUAAUAUAACAUUGCAGUGUUAACAUCUUCACUGGCAGAUUCAUGGACUUUCCCCCUCCUGAAUGCAUUUCAACACCUUGAAAUGAACGAUGCCUCAUGUCUCUGCAGGGUGGACAUAGCUCUAACUCUCUGAAGCUGAUUAUAUGUCAAGUUCUGUGUGAAAUGAGAGACCAUGGGGAUUCAUUAUUGCUGGAGUUGACGGUAUUGCAGUUUUAUAACCAUCUAAUAAAUUAGCAUUUAAUACUGAGAGAUUUCAUCUUAAACUCAGAGGAUUGCUUUGUUUUAAAGAAGAUUUUUGCAAGGAGAAGCAAUGGAAACCAUUCAGAAAAUGUGGGAGAUAAAAAUCCUAUUCAAGAAAACGGAUCUUGGAUCUUUGCAUUCACUUGAUUUGUCAGAAUAUUAUUCUGUGCUAAAAAAUAGAAGGGAUUAAAUGUUAAAA
ensembl:lncRNA LINC00639 long intergenic non-protein coding RNA 639